CUACGGGAGGCACCAGUUAGGAAUAAUCUGCAAUGCGCGCAAGCGUGACAGUUUGAACCAGAGUGUUUUCCAUUUGGACAACUUUUGUGAAAUGUAAAAAGUUUCACGAAUAAGGACUGGGUAAGACGAGUGCCAGCCGCCGCGGUAAUACUCGCGGUCCAAGUCGCAGCCACAUUUAUUGGGUCUAAAACAUCCGUAGCUUGUUUUGUAAGUUUCUUGUGAAAUUUUGUAUCUUAAAUGCGAAGCGCGCAAGAAAUACUGCAAAACUAGAGAUUGGGAGACGUUAGAAGUAUGUUUAAAGUAGCGGUUAAAUGUUUUAAUCUUAGACAGACUCACAAUAGCGAAGGCAUCUAACGAGAACAGUUCUGACAGUCAGGGAUGAAGGCCAGGGGCGCAAAACGGAUUAGAUACCCUUGUAGUC
rnacentral:rRNA from 1 species